GGGAGAGAUGGAGACAGAUGCAGGGUGGAUGGACAGAGAUGUGGAGGGAGAGACCGAGGGAGCUGGAGACAGAUGCAGGGUGGAUGGACAGAGAUGUGGAGGGAGAGACCGAGGGAGAUGGAGACAGAUGCAGGGUGGAUGGACAGAGAUGUGGAGGGAGAGACCGAGAGAGAUGGAGACAGAUGCAGGGUGGCUGGACAGACAGGGGGAAGAUGGAUGGCAGCAGAGAGAGACAGGAUAGAUGGGAGUGAUGCACUACCCUAUGGACCCUGGUCAGAAGUAGUGCAUUAUAUAGGGAAUAGGGUGCCUUUUGGGACGUAGGUUCAUUCUGCUGGAAUAGAACACUAAAUCACUAAGAAUCUGUCCUGAGGCUGGGGAGGUUUCUGAUUGGAUUAGAACUGAGGCUGGGGAGAUUUCUGAUUAGAACUGUGGCUGGGGAGGUUUCUGAUUGGAUUAGAACUGUGGCUGGGGAGGUUUCUGAUUGGAUUAGAACUGUGGCUGGGGAGGUUUCUGAUUGGAUUAGAACUGAGGCUGGAGAGGUUUCUGAUUGGAUUAGAACUGUGCUGGGGAGGUUUCUGAUUGGAUUAGAACUGUGCUGGGGAGGUUUCUGAUUGGAUUAGAACUCUGUUGGGGAGGCAGGGGCUGCUUUUCACAGACACACAUAUUUCCACACUCCCCGCUAGUGCAAACAUGCAUCAGAACAGUAACUGCGUCAUCGCUCUCAGAGACAUGUAAGGGUGUGUCACAACACAGAACCGACUGAUACUGUAUGUUAAUAUGGUAACAGGUUCUGUUCUAACUAACCAAACCAUUCAGAGAGAGGUGUCUGUCUGUGUCUGUCUGUGUCUGUCUGUGUCUGUCUGUGUCUGUCUCUCUCUCUGACUGUCUGUCUGUCUCUGACUGUCUGACUGUCUGUCUGUCUCUCUGUGUCUGUCUGUCUGUCUCUGACUGUCUGUGUCUAUCUCUGUCUGUCUGACUGUCUGUCUGACUGACUGUAAUGUUCUGUUGCCCCGUCAGGCCCACUGUAAUGUUCUGGUCCCCCGUCAGGCCCACUAUAAUGUUCUGUUGCCCCGUCAGGCCCACUGUAAUAUUCUGUUGCCCCGUCAGGCCCACUGUAAUGUUCUGUUCCCCCGUCAGGCCCACUGUAAUGUUCUGUUGCCCCGUCAGGCCCACUGUAAUGUUCUGUUGCCCCGUCAGGCCCACUGUAAUGUUCUGUUGCCCCGUCAGGCCCACUGUAAUGUUCUGUUCCCCGUCAGGCCCACUGUAAUGUUCUGUUUCCCCGUCAGGCCCACUGUAAUGUUCUGUUGCCCCGUCAGGCCCACUGUAAUGUUCUGUUUCCCCGUCAGGCCCACUGUAAUGUUCUGUUGCCCCGUCAGGCCCACUAUAAUGUUCUGGUCCCCCGUCAGGCCCAUUAUAAUAUUCUGUUGCACCGUCAGGCCCACUAUAAUGUUCUGGUCCCCCGUCAGGCCCACUAUAAUUUUCUGUGCUAUAACAGUCUGGAGGCUCAGUGGCUGUGAAAUGAGACGAACUAUAGCAGGAUUGGUUGGUCCUAAUUUAACAGGAGCAGGAUUGGUUGGUCCUAAUUUAACAGGAGCAGGAUUGGUUGGUCCUAAU
ensembl:lncRNA